UAUUAACUUAUUUCUUUCAUGGUUUGACAGCUUUGCGCUGCACUGAAUAUAAAUAAGAGAAGUGUUGAUCGUGAUCUUGAUGUCUACCGCAAUCUGCUCUCUAAGCUGGUUCAAGCAAAAGAGCUGCUAAAGGAAUAUGUCGACAGGGAGAAAAAGAAAAGAGAAGAACGGACAGAAUCUCAGAAAGCUAAUGAAGCUGUCACAAAAUGCUUGGGGGGAUACCAAUAUGCGGGGGUUAUGAAGUAACCUUCAUUUGUUACCUUUUGUUUAAAUCUCUCUCAAUAUAUAUCUAACAGUUAAUUUGAUCUUUUGCAUGAUAAGAAUGGUUCAGACAGGUUAUCAAAAUAGAGGCUGUAUUAAAUGACAAAUAAUAAUUCAGAUCCUCGUGAUUUAGCCAUGUUGAAA